UAGCAUUUGAGGAUAGAAAUGCGGCAGCUAUCACCCUCUAUGUUAGGAGAUACGGGAAAAGUCGACCCGUCUAUGCUA
rnacentral:ncRNA from 12 species